rnacentral:rRNA from 1 species
UGGCUCAGGACGAACGCUGGCGGCGUGCUUAACACAUGCAAGUCGAGCGAUGAAGUUCCUUCGGGAAUGGAUUAGCGGCGGACGGGUGAGUAACACGUGGGUAACCUGCCUCAUAGAGGGGAAUAGCCUUUCGAAAGGAAGAUUAAUACCGCAUAAGAUUGUAGUAUCGCAUGAUACAGCAAUUAAAGGAGUAAUCCGCUAUGAGAUGGACCCGCGUCGCAUUAGCUAGUUGGUGAGGUAACGGCUCACCAAGGCGACGAUGCGUAGCCGACCUGAGAGGGUGAUCGGCCACAUUGGGACUGAGACACGGCCCAGACUCCUACGGGAGGCAGCAGUGGGGAAUAUUGCACAAUGGGGGAAACCCUGAUGCAAGCAACGCCGCGUGAGUGAUGACGGUCUUCGGAUUGUAAAACUCUGUCUUCAGGGACGAUAAUGACGGUACCUGAGGAGGAAGCCACGGCUAACUACGUGCCAGCCGCCGC